GAGUAGUAAUGAGUGACUGGGGAAGCUGUUGCUGUUUUUUUCUGAUAUAAAAGUAUGAUAAACCCUUUGUGGACCUGCCUCUUCUGUUGUGUCCCUGAUCCUUGAUGGUAUCCUAAAUCCUUCCUGAAUCGCCAACCAUGAAUGAGAAUGCGUGUCUGUGACUCGUUAAUCUUAUUUUCCUUACUGUAUUUCAUAUGGAUUAUCCGGGGAAUCGCGAAGAGUAAAAAUCUUGGUUUAAAUGGCUUUCACUGUUGGAAGGAUAAAGCUAUACGUUUGUCACGGUCAGUCUUAAUCUAAGCAGAAAGCCUUGAUCAAAGAAAUCAGCAGAAGCUCUUCGGAUCUUGCUGUGAAAGUCAAAUUUAAUGCAGAGGAUUUUUUAAUUAAAAGGUUGAAGCUUGACCUGCUUCGUUGAUAUAAACAUUUGGAGCGCAUUUAUGAUCCCAUUAACGGGUUGAAAAAGUCCCUUCGGUUGACAUUGUCAAUACCUUAUAGAAUUUUGAAUGCUUGAACAAGAUCGCUGCAUAGUCUUCUUUGUUGAAGAAUGAAUGGAUUCAAUUCUUUUAGCCUGAAUGCAUUCGACAUGCCUUUUAAACCUGGAAUAAUUCUGGUUGCUCUUCUUUGCACUCUUUCUAGAGCAGCAAUAUCCUUUUUGCAGCGAGGUGACUAGAACUGAACACAAUAGUCUAGAUGAUGUCUUAUUAAUGCAUUGUAAAGUUUUAACAUUAUUUCCCUUGCUUUGAAUUCAACACUUUUCACUAUGUAUCCGAGCAUCUUGUUGGCCUUUUAUAGCUUCCCCACAUUGUCUAGAUGAAGACAUUUCUGAGUCAACAUAAACUCCUAGAUCUUUUUCAUAGAUUCCUUCUUGAAUUUCAGUACCUCCCAUAUGGUAUUUAUAAUACACAUUUGUAUUGCCUGCGUGCAGUACCUUACACUUUUCUCUAUUAAAUGUAAUUUGCCAUGUGUCUGCCCAGUUCUGAAUGCUGUCUAAACCAUUUUGAAUGACCUUUGCUGCUGCAAUAGCGUUUGCCAGUCCUAUUUUUGUGUCGUCUGCUAAUUUAACAAGUUUGCUUUCUAUACCAGAAUCUAAGUCAUUAAUGUAGAUUAGGAAUAGCAGAUGACCUAAUACUGAUCCCUGUGGUACUCCACUGGUUACCUCGCUCUAUUUUGAGGUUUCUCCUCUAAUCAGUAUUGUUUUCUACAUGUUAACCACUCCCUAAUCCAUGUACAUGCAUGCACUCCUAAUCCCUUUCACACUUCUGCCUGUUAUGCUAGUUAUUUAAAACUGGAUAGGAACAGGUCGACAUGUGGGACAUGUUGUCCUUAUCCUCCUUUGUAAAAACUUGUGAAAAGUAAUCAUUUCAUAUAUUUGCUAUUUUUUUCUCGUUGUCUCUGAUUUUGCCAUGUGUAUCAGACAUUUUACCUCCUCCUUGAAUGUUCUCUUGCUGUCAUAAUAUUGUAAAAACGUUUUGGAACUGGUUUUAGUCCCUUUAGCAAUGCUCAUUUCUAUCUCUCUCUAACUUCCUUUUUGAUUUGCGUUUGCAGUUCCAAGUACUCUUUCUGUGAACUUUGUUCUUGGUCCCUUUUAAACGUUCUGUAAGGUGCCUUUUUUCUGGAUAUAUAUAUAUAAUAAUUUUAAUUGAUCUAUUCAGAGAAGCUACGUUGGUUCACUGGAACACAAAUAAUACAAAGACGCAAGCCCUCAGCCACCUCAGGACACUUGAGCAAAGGAUAAGGAGUAAAUGAAAGUAUUUUGAAACAGCUUGUAA